rnacentral:rRNA from 1 species
AGUUUGAUUAUGGCUCAGAUUGAACGCUGGCGGGAUGCUUUACACAUGUAAGUCGAACGGCAGCACGGACUUCGGUCUGGUGGCGAGUGGCGAACGGGUGAGUAAUGUAUCGGAACGUGCCUAGUAGCGGGGAUAACUACGCGAAAGCGUAGCUAAUACCGCAUACGCCCUUCGGGGGAAAGCGGGGACCUUCGGGCCUCGGCACUAUUAGAGCGGCCGAUAUCGGAUUAGCUAGUUGGUGGGGUAACGGCUCGCUCGAAGGCGACGAUCCGUAGCUGGUUUGAGAGGACGACCAGCCACACUGGGACUGAGACACGGCCCAGACUCUACGGGAGGCAGCAGUGGGGAAUUUUGGACAAUGGGGGAAACCCUGAUCCAGCCAUCCCGCGUGCGAUGAAGGCCUUCGUUGUAAAAGCACUUUUGGCAGGAAAGAAACGGCACGGGAUAAUACCCGUGCAACUGACGGUACCUGCAGAAUAAGCACCGGCUAACUACGUGCCAGCAGCCGCGGUAAUACGUAGGGUGCAAGCGUUAAUCGGAAUUACUGGGCGAAGCGUGCGCAGGCGGUUCGGAAAGAAAAGAUGAAAUCCCAGAGCUUAACUUUGAACUGCAUUUUUAACUACCGAGCUAGGAGUGUGUCAGAGGGAGGUGGAAUUCCGCGUGUAGCAGUGAAAUGCGUAGAUAUGCGGAGGAACACCGAUGGCGAAGGCAGCCUCCUGGGAUAACACUGACGCUCAUGCACGAAAGCGUGGGGAGCAAACAGGAUUAGAUACUCUGGUAGUCCACGCCCUAAACGAUGUCAACUAGCUGCUGGGGCCUUCGGGCCUGGUAGCGCAGCUAAUCGGGCGUAGUGAAGUUGACCGCCUGGGGAGUACGCAAUGAUUAGAACUCAAAGGAAUUGACGGGGACCCGCACAAGCGGUGGAUGAUGUGGAUUAAUUCGAUGCAACGCGAAAAACCUUACCUACCCUUGACAUGUCUGGAAUCCUGAAGAGAUUUGGGAGUGCUCGCAAGAGAACCGGAACACAGGUGCUGCAUGGCUGUCGUCAGCUCGUGUCGUGAGAUGUUGGGUUAAGUCCCACAACGAGCGCAACCCUUGUCAAUAGUUGCUACGAAAGGGCACUCUAAUGAGACUGCCGCAUACAAACCGGAGGAAGGUGGGGAUGACGUCAAGUCCUCAUGGCCCUGCGGGUAGGGCCUCACACGUCAUACAAUGGUCGGGACAGGGUCACCAACCCGCGAGGGGGAGCCAAUCCCAGAAACCCGAUCGUAGUCCGGAUCGCAGUCUGCAACUCGACUGCGUGAAGUCGGAAUCGCUAGUAAUCGCGGAUCAGCAUGUCGCGGUGAAUACGUUCCCGGGUCUUGUACACACCGCCCGUCACACCAUGGGAGUGGGUUUUACCAGAAGUAGUUAGCCUAACCGUAAGGAGGGCGAUUACCACGGUAGGAUUCAUGACUGGGGUGAAGUCGUAACAAGGUA